rnacentral:rRNA from 1 species
UCCGUAGGGGGCUAGCGUUGUCCGGAAUCAUUGGGCGUAAAGCGCGCGUAGGCGGCCCAGUAAGUCCGUUGUAAAAGUCAAAGGCUCAACCUUUGAAAGCCGAUGGAUACUGCUGGGCUAGAGUCCGGAAGAGGCGAGUGGAAUUCCUGGUGUAGCGGUGGAAUGCGUAGAUAUCAGGAGGAACACCGGUGGCGAAGGCGGCUUUCUGGACAGUAACUGACGCUGAGGCGCGAAAGCUAGGGGAGCAAACAGG